rnacentral:rRNA from 1 species
UACGGGGGGGGCAAGCGUUGUUCGGAAUUAUUGGGCGUAAAGCGGGUGUAGGUGGCUCUAUAAGCCAGAUGUGAAAGCCCCGGGCUUAACCUGGGAAUGGCAUUUGGGACUGCAAGGCUUGAGUGCGGCAGAGGAGACUGGAAUUCCUGGUGUAGCAGUGAAAUGCGUAGAUAUCAGGAGGAAUACCGAUGGCGAAGGCAGGUCUCUGGGCUGACACUGACGCUCAUGCACGAAAGCGUGGGGAGCAAACAGG